GGUUGAUCCUGCCAGUAGUCAUAUGCUUGUUUCAAAGAUUAAGCCAUGCAUGUGUAAGUAUAGAGCAUUUCUAGCUUGAAACUGCGAACGGCUCAUUAAAUCAGUUAUAAUCUACUUGAUUGUAUAAAGUUACUAGGAUAACCGUAGUAAUUCUAUGGCUAAUACUUGCAAAAGAUUCUGACUCGAGAGGGAAGGAAUGCGGAUAUUAGUUACAAAACCAGGUCGUAGGUAAAACUGCGAAAAAUACUGAUGAUUUAUAAUAUCUAGGCGAAGCGCAAUUCUUUAUAGAUGG
rnacentral:rRNA from 1 species